rnacentral:lncRNA from 1 species
CAAGCUGUAUAGGCUCGAAAGCCUACUACCAAUUAAGCAUAUUAGGUGAUGUGCAUCUCUGUAAUGAGAAGGGGUGUGGUCUAAUGACAUCAACACCCUAUAUCAGGUGUGCAUAAUUAUUAGGCAACUUCCUUUCCUUUGGCAAAAUGGGUCAAAAGGAGGACUUGACAGGCUCAGAAAAGUCAAAAAUAGUGAGAUAUCUUGCAGAGGGAUGCAGCACUCUUAAAAUUGCAAAGCUUCUGAAGCGUGAUCAUCGAACAAUCAAGCGUUUCAUUCAAAAUAGUCAACAGGGUCGCAAGAAGCGUGUGGAAAAACCAAGGCGCAAAAUAACUGCCCAUGA